rnacentral:rRNA from 1 species
UACGUAGGGGGCAAGCGUUGUCCGGAUUCAUUGGGCGUAAAGAGCGUGUAGGCGGCCAGGUAGGUCGGUUGUGAAAACUGGAGGCUCAACCUUCAGAGGUCGACCGAAACCAUCUGGCUAGAGUCCGGGAGAGGAGUGUGGAAUUCCCGGUGUAGCGGUGAAAUGCGCAGAGAUCGGGAGGAACACCCGUAGCGAAGGCGGCACUCUGGGCCGGACUGACGCUGAGGAGCGAA